rnacentral:rRNA from 1 species
CUACGGGUCGCAGCAGUGAGGAAUAUUGCACAAUGGGGGGAACCCUGAUGCAGCAACGCCGCGUGGAGGAUGACGCAUUUCGGUGUGUAAACUCCUUUUAUAUGUCAAGAAAAUGACGGUAGCAUAUGAAUAAGCACCGGCUAACUCCGUGCCAGCAGCCGCGGUAAUACGGAGGGUGCAAGCGUUACUCGGAAUCACUGGGCGUAAAGGACGCGUAGGCGGGUUGGAAAGUCAGGUGUGAAAUCCUACGGCUUAACUGUAGAACUGCACUUGAAACUUCUAAUCUAGAGUAUGGGAGGGGGAGAUGGAAUUAGUGGUGUAGGGGUAAAAUCCGUAGAUAUCACUAGGAAUACCUAAAGCGAAGGCGAUCUCCUGGAACAUUACUGACGCUAAGGCGUGAAAGCGUGGGGAGCAAACAGGAUUAGACCCUAGUAGUC